ACGCUCACACCUACGGGAGGCAGCAGUGGGGAAUAUUGCACAAUGGGGGAAACCCUGAUGCAGCGACGCCGCGUGGAGGAAGAAGGUCUUCGGAUUGUAAACUCCUGUUGUUGGGGAAAAAGAGGAUGGUACCCAACAAGGAAGUGACGGCUAACUACGUGCCAGCAGCCGGGUAAUCUGAGCGGGCUGGCAAGGC
rnacentral:rRNA from 1 species